rnacentral:rRNA from 1 species
AUUGAACGCUGGCGGCAUGCCUUACACAUGCAAGUCGAACGGUAACGCGGGGCAACCUGGCGACGAGUGGCGAACGGGUGAGUAAUGCAUCGGAACGUGCCCAGUAGUGGGGGAUAGCCCGGCGAAAGCCGGAUUAAUACCGCAUACGACCUAUGGGUGAAAGCGGGGGACCGUAAGGCCUCGCGCUAUUGGAGCGGCCGAUGUCAGAUUAGGUUGUUGGUGGGGUAAAAGCCUACCAAGCCGACGAGAUGUAGCUGGUCUGAGAGGACGACUAGCCAACCUGGGACUGAGACACGGCCCAGACUCCUACGGGAGGCAGCAGUGGGGAAUUUUGGACAAUGGGGGCAACCCUGAUCCAGCCAUGCCGCGUGCGGGAAGAAGGCCUUCGGGUUGUAAACCGCUUUUGUCAGGGAAGAAACGCUCUGAGUUAAUACCUCGGGGUAAUGACGGUACCUGAAGAAUAAGCACCGGCUAACUACGUGCCAGCCGCCGCAGUAAAAC